GCGGGACAUGCUAGUACGGCGAGUGAGCGGCACAGCUCAAUUUGAAAGCUGGCCUUCGGGUCCGCAUUGUAAUUUGUAGAGGAUGCUUUGGGUGAAACGCCAGUCUAAGUUCCUUGGAACAGGACGUCAUAGAGGGUGAGAAUCCCGUAUGUGACUGGAAAUGUUAACCUAUGUAAAGCUCCUUCGACGAGUCGAGUUGUUUGGGAAUGCAGCUCUAAAUGGGAGGUAAAUUUCUUCUAAAGCUAAAUAUUGGCGAGAGACCGAUAGCGCACAAGUAGAGUGAUCGAAAGAUGAAAAGCACUUUGGAAAGAGAGUUAAAAAGCACGUGAAAUUGUUGAAAGGGAAGCGCUUGCAAUCAGACUUGUUUAAACUGUUCGGCCGGUCUUCUGACCGGUUUACUCAGUUUGGACAGGCCAGCAUCAGUUUCGGCGGCCGGAUAAAGGCUCUGGGAAUGUGGCCUUCACUUCGGUGAAGGUGUUAUAGCCCAGGGUGUAAUACGGCCAGCCGGGACUGAGGUCCGCGCUUCGGCUAGGAUGCUGGCGUAAUGGUUGUAAGCGACCCGUCUUGAACCCCCGGACCA
rnacentral:rRNA from 1 species